GGGGGGGGCAGGCGUUGUUCGGAAUUACUGGGCGUAAAGGGCUCGUAGGCGGCCAACUAAGUCGGACGUGAAAUCCCCAGGCUCAACCUGGGAACUGCGUCCGAUACUGGAUGGCUUGAAUCCGGGAGAGGGAUGCAGAAUUCCAGGUGUAGCGGUGAAAUGCGUAGAUAUCUGGAGGAAUACCGGUGGCGAAGGCGGCAUCCUGGACCGGCAUUGACGCUGAGGAGCGAAAGCCAGGGGAGCAAACGGGAUUAGAUACCCCGGUAGUCCUGGCCCUAAACGAUGAAUGCUUGGUGUAACGGGUAUCGAUCCCUGUUGUGCCGAAGCUAACGCAUUAAGCAUUCCGCCUGGGGAGUACGGUCGCAAGGCUG
rnacentral:rRNA from 1 species